AUGCCAUGGUGUGCGAAUUAUCUUUGCAAAGCCUUGUAUCUCUGCCAUGCCUUAUAGAGAGACUCCAAUUCAUGUUGCUGAAAAUGGAAUAUCUCAUUUCUGAACUU